AUUGAACGCUGGCGGCAUGCCUUACACAUGCAAGUCGAACGGCAGCACGGGAGCAAUCCUGGUGGCGAGUGGCGAACGGGUGAGUAAAGUAUCGGAACGUGCCCAGUCGUGGGGGAUAACGUAGCGAAAGUUACGCUGAUACCGCAUACGAUCUAUGGAUGAAAGCGGGGGAUCGCAAGACCUCGCGCGAUUGGAGCGGCCGAUAUCAGAUUAGGUAGUUGGUGGGGUAAAGGCUCACCAAGCCGACGAUCUGUAGCUGGUCUGAGAGGACGACCAGCCACACUGGGACUGAGACACGGCCCAGACUCCUACGGGAGGCAGCAGUGGGGAAUUUUGGACAAUGGGCGAAAGCCUGAUCCAGCCAUGCCGCGUGCAGGAAGAAGGCCUUCGGGUUGUAAACUGCUUUUGUACGGAGCGAAAAGGCUCUCUCUAAUACAGGGGGCUCAUGACGGUACCGUAAGAAUAAGCACCGGCUAACUACGUGCCAGCCGCCGCAGUAA
rnacentral:rRNA from 1 species